GGUCCCAAGGGUAUGGCUGUUCGCCAUUUAAAGUGGUACGUGAGCUGGGUUUAAAACGUCGUGAGACAGUUUGGUCCCUAUCUGCCGUGGGCGUUGGAAAUUUGAAGGGACCUGCUCCUAGUACGAGAGGACCGGAGUGGACAGAUCUCUGGUGGACCGGUUAUCACGCCAGUGGUAUAGCCGGGUAGCUAAAUCUGGAAGAGAUAAACGCUGAAAGCAUCUAAGCGUGAAACUCGCCUUGAGAUGAGAUUUCCCUGGGGGUUUAACCCCCCUAAAGAGUCGUUCGAGACCAGGACGUUGAUAGGACGGAUGUGGAAGCGCAGUAAUGCGUUAAGCUGACCGUUACUAAUUGCUCGUGAGGCUUGAUCCUAUAACCUUA
rnacentral:rRNA from 1 species